UACGUAGGGGGGCAAGCGUUUGUCCGGAAUUAUUGGGCGUAAAGCGCGCGCAGGCGGUUCUUUAAGUCUGGUGUUUAAACCCGAGGCUCAACUUCGGGUCGCACUGGAAACUGGGGGGAACUUGAGUGCAGAAGAGGAGAGUGGAAUUCACGUGUAGCGGUGAAAUGCGUAGAUAUGUGGAGGAAACACAGUGGCGAAGGCGACCUCUA
rnacentral:rRNA from 1 species